GCCUGGGUGGUUCAGUUGUUUGAGCAUCUGACUGUGGCUCAGGUCAUGAUCUCAUGAUUCAUGGGUUCCAGCCCUGUAUCAGGCU
rnacentral:tRNA from 1 species